GCCCCACCAGGCCCCUCAGCCUCUGCCCCUACAGCAGCAGGGAGGGAGCAGGGCCAGCCCCAGCACCCCCACAGCCAUGGGGCACUCCCGGGUUGGCCCAGGCCACUUGUGCCAGCAGCAACUGGGGCCUGUCCCACCCACCUGCACUGCUAUAAACCCAGCCUGUUUGGGGCACUGCAGCAUUGCCUGGCCCCAAGGGCAUCUGCACACAGCCAUUCCUGCUGCAUUUGCUGCUGCCUGAACACCAAAGCCUUUCUCAGGAAGGCCUGUGAAGAGCCGAGACAGGAGCAGCAGCCAUGAAGAUCCUGUUCCUGCUCUUCCCCCUACUUCUCCUGUUGGUCCAGGGUACUGAAGGCAGUGCAGUUGCAUGCUGGAGAAAACGGGGAUUCUGCUCCAGGUUUUCUUGCCCUCCUGGUUCAUUUCGUGCCGGAAGUUGUGCACCAAGCCUUGUAUGCUGCAGAAGGUAAGG